rnacentral:rRNA from 1 species
UGGCGGACGGGUGAGUAACAUAUCGGAACGUACCCAGUGGUGGGGGAUAACACAUCGAAAGAUGUGCUAAUACCGCAUACGACCUGAGGGUGAAAGGGGGGGAUCGCAAGACCUCUCGCCGUUGGAGCGGCCGAUAUCGGAUUAGCUAGUUGGUGGGGUAAAGGCCUACCAAGGCGACGAUCCGUAGCUGGUCUGAGAGGAUGAUCAGCCACACUGGAACUGAGACACGGUCCAGACUCCUACGGGAGGCAGCAGUGGGGAAUCUUCCGCAAUGGACGAAAGUCUGACGGAGCAACGCCGCGUGAGUGAAGAAGGUUUUCGGAUCGUAAAGCUCUUUCGUUAGGGACGAACGUGCUCUUUGUGAAUAAUGAGGAGUAAUGACGGUACCUAAAUAAGAAGCCACGGCUAACUACGUGCCAGCAGCCGCGGUAAU